ACGCGCGUUCCCAUUUUGUUGGUUUCUGAGAUCGCCGUAAUGAUUAAUAGGGAUAGUUGGGGGCAUUUGUAUUCCGUCGUCAGAGGUGAAAUUCUUGGAUUGCCGGAAGACAAACUAUUGCGAGAGCAUUUGCCAAGGAUGUUUUCAUUGAUCAAGAACGAAGGAAGGGGGAUCGAAAACGAUCAGAUACCGUUGUAGUCUCUUCUGUAAACUAUGCCAAUUGGGGAUUAGCUCAGGAUUUUUAAUGACUGAGUUAGCACCCGAAGAGAAAUCUUUAGAUGAGGUUCGGGGGGGAGUAUGGUCGCAAGGCUGAAACUUAAAGGAAUUGACGGAAGGGCACCACCAGGUGUGGAGCCUGCGGCUUAAUUUGACUCAACACGGGGAAACUCACCAGGUCCAGACACAAUAAGGAUUGACAGAUUGAUAGCUCUUUCUUGAUCUUGUGGUUGGUGGUGCAUGGCCGUUCUUAGUUGGUGGAGUGAUUUGUCUGGUUAAUUCCGAUAACGAACGAGACCUUAACCUGCUAAAUAGACCAGCCGGCUUUGGCUGGCUGCUGUCUUCUUAGAGGGACUAUCAGCGUUUAGCUGAUGGAAGUUUGAGGCAAUAACAGGUCUGUGAUGCCCUUAGAUGUUCUGGGCCGCACACGCGCUACACUGACAGAGCCAGCGAGUUCUCUCCUCCACCGGAAGGUGUGGGUAAUCUUGU
rnacentral:rRNA from 1 species